UUUCACAUGGAAAAACAGGAAUGAGAUAAUGUUUUUGGCUAUUCUCUCUCGGAUAGGAGUAGAAUAAUUUUGGGUGAAUCUGGAGAUGGAAAUGAGUGGAUGUAUGUGGAUGCGUACUUCUGGAGUAGAAGCAGCAUGUAUGAGUGAACGUGCAAGUGAAUCUUGAUUUUAACCGCAUGACAUGCUCCUAAGGGUCUACACAACUUGACCACACUCAAUGCUCAUAAGCAGUAAAAAGUAAAUGUAUGGUUCAUAGUCUAAUAAGCAUGUAUAUAUGGCUGUGGUG
rnacentral:lncRNA from 1 species